CGGGGGUAGAGCACUGUUUCGGCUAGGGGGCCAUCCCGGCUUACCAACCCGAUGCAAACUGCGAAUACCGGAGAAUGUUAUCACGGGAGACACACGGCGGGUGCUAACGUCCGUCGUGAAGAGGGAAACAACCCAGACCGCCAGCUAAGGUCCCAAAGUCAUGGUUAAGUGGGAAACGAUGUGGGAAGGCCCAGACAGCCAGGAUGUUGGCUUAGAAGCAGCCAUCAUUUAAAGAAAGCGUAAUAGCUCACUGGUCGAGUCGGCCUGCGCGGAAGAUGUAACGGGGCUAAACCAUGCACCGAAGCUGCGGCAGCGACACUGUGUGUUGUUGGGUAGGGGAGCGUUCUGUAAGCCUGUGAAGGUGUGUCGUGAGGCAUGCUGGAGGUAUCAGAAGUGCGAAUGCUGACAUAAGUAACGAUAAAGCGGGUGAAAAGCCCGCUCGCCGGAAGACCAAGGGUUCCUGUCCAACGUUAAUCGGGGCAGGGUGAGUCGACCCCUAAGGCGAGGCCGAAAGGCGUAGUCGAUGGGAAACGGGUUAAUAUUCCCGUACUUGGUGUUACUGCGAAGGGGGGACGGAGAAGGCUAUGUUGGCCGGGCGACGGUUGUCCCGGUUUAAGCGUGUAGGUGUGUGUUCCAGGUAAAUCCGGUUCACUUUAACACUGAGGCGUGACGACGAGGCACUACGGUGCUGAAGCAACAAAUGCCCUGCUUCCAGGAAAAGCCUCUAAGCAUCAGGUAACAUCAAAUCGUACCCCAAACCGACACAGGUGGUCAGGUAGAGAAUACCAAGGCGCUUGAGAGAACUCGGGUGAAGGAACUAGGCAAAAUGGUGCCGUAACUUCGGGAGAAGGCACGCUGACACGUAGGUGAAGUGAUUUACUCAUGGAGCUGAAGUCAGUCGAAGAUACCAGCUGGCUGCAACUGUUUAUUAAAAACACAGCACUGUGCAAACACGAAAGUGGACGUAUACGGUGUGACGCCUGCCCGGUGCCGGAAGGUUAAUUGAUGGGGUCAGCGCAAGCGAAGCUCCUGAUCGAAGCCCCGGUAAACGGCGGCCGUAACUAUAACGGUCCUAAGGUAGCGAAAUUCCUUGUCGGGUAAGUUCCGACCUGCACGAAUGGCGUAAUGAUGGCCAGGCUGUCUCCACCCGAGACUCAGUGAAAUUGAACUCGCUGUGAAGAUGCAGUGUACCCGCGGCAAGACGGAAAGACCCCGUGAACCUUUACUAUAGCUUGACACUGAACAUUGAGCCUUGAUGUGUAGGAUAGGUGGGAGGCUUUGAAGUGUGGACGCCAGUCUGCAUGGAGCCGACCUUGAAAUACCACCCUUUAAUGUUUGAUGUUCUAACGUGGACCCGUUACCCGGGUUGCGGACAGUGUCUGGUGGGUAGUUUGACUGGGGCGGUCUCCUCC
rnacentral:rRNA from 1 species